CGCUAGGAUGCUAAACCGGGUAUAGCGUUAGCCUUUUAAGCUGAAGAAUGGUGACUCCCACCCACCCCUAGUGA
rnacentral:tRNA from 1 species